rnacentral:tRNA from 1 species
GGCCGACUGGCCUAAUGGUUAAGGCGUCAGUUUCCGGCGUUAUGUCAGCUGAAGAUUCUGGGUUCGAAUCCCAGGUUGGUCG